UACGUAGGAUGCAAGCGUUGUCCGGAAUUAUUGGGCGUAAAGAGCGCGCAGGCGGUAUGACAAGUCAGAUGUGAAAGAGGCCGGCUUAACCGGCAAGGGUCAUUUGAAACUGUCAGACUAGAGUGCAGCAGAGGAUAGUGGAAUUCCCGGUGUAGUGGUGAAAUGCGUAGAUAUCGGGAGGAACACCAGUGGCGAAGGCGGCGACCUGGGCCAAUAUUGACGCUGAGGAGCGAAAGCGUGGGGAGCGAACAGG
rnacentral:rRNA from 1 species